rnacentral:lncRNA from 1 species
AUUUAUACUGCACUCGUUCUAUUUGAGCAGUCAAAAUGCGUUGACCGUAUAUUUCUAUGUCAUAUACAGUCACUGACCUGAUAUCACUUUUCCUCAUGAAUAUUUAAAUAGAAAUUGUCGAAAUUAUAUUUAAUUAUUCAUACGACCUCUUCAACCUGUUCUUGUUUCCAAUGUAAACAACGAUGCGUUUAACGACUCAAACUUGUUUCUUU